CUGCAGUAGCUCCCCGCCCGGCUCCGCGCGGGGAGCUGUCCCUCAUGCCCCCUGUCAGGCGGGACCCCGCCGGCCCCCUGGGCUCGCGACCCCAGCUCUGAAGCCACGCCUGCCCUCCCACGCGUUCCUGCGAGCGGGAAGGCGGGAGCGAGCCGCGCGCCGAGGUCGGGCCCGGGGCUUCCCCGCUGUUGCCUCGGAGACUUCCGCGGGGCCAGUCCCGCCGCCGAGUGCGGUGGCCCGGUCCCGGGCGGGUGCCCGCGCCCCCACCCCCCACCCCCCUACACCAGGCCCCGGCCCUCUCCCGCGAGCGGAGGGAAGGCUCCCGAGCGCCUCCGAGGCCGCGGGAUGCCGGGCACAGGCCCAGCGGCCGGUGGAAGCGGAGCCGAGCAGGAGAAAGAGAGGGGAGGAGGAGCGAGUAGCUCGCGGCCGAGGGAACAGCAGAUUGCGCCCAGCCAAUGGCAAGGGCUGGGGAAUCUCCUGUCUGGGCCUCUGUCUCGUGAUCUUUGUCCCCAGGUCUCACCUGGCAAGCAGUCAGUGAACUCUUUGGCCCUGGCCCUGGUCCGAAGAACUUUUUCCCCAGGAGUCACCCAGCUUGUCAGUCGCCUGGUCAUGCACUCUGCCCAGAGACAUUACCUGUUCCUGGCCACGCUACGUGAUCUGCAGACAUACCCUCGGGACAGAAUAACCUGUUAGAAGACCCUUCCCUGGGCCCCCAGUUCAUGACCUGAGCAAAGACAGAUGCUGAACCAACUGAGCCAUCCAGGCGCCCCUCCAGUUUCACCCUAAAUGACCCCAUGGGAUUUAGCACCACCAUCUCCUCCAGAAAGUCUUCCCUGCUUCUCCCAACCUGGUCUGCUGUGGACCUCUUCUCACUGUGUGCUAAGCUCCAUCAUCCAGUCAUAAGGAUCUCCUCCUCUAUGGUGAUUGCCCAAGGUCAGGAGCUCCUUAUGACCUCAGCACUUAGCACCAUGCCUACGACCAUGUGAUGUUCCAUAAACGUUCAAUGAAGGGAGCCCGGAAGGGCAAAAGGAAGGGAACGUCAAGUGGGCUGUCCAAGUUGCAUGAAGAUCUGUGAGCAUUCCUCCGCUCAGCCCCCCACCCCCAUUUGACAUCUGGCUGGGGACGCUCACAGACCCACAAGAGACACAGCAAGAGAGGGAACACAAGCCGGGGAAAAGGGAGAGGGAGAAGCAGGCUUCCCGCGGAGCAGGGAGCCCAUGCGGGGCUUGAUCCCAGGACCCUGGGAUCAUGACCUGAGCCGAAGGCAGACGCUUAACGACUGAGCCACCCAGGAGCCCAUGAGUUGUUUGUCUUCUUAUGUGCUGUGAUAUAUGUCCCCAUUCUCUGGCUUAUCUAUUUGUUUUCUUAAUAUUUUUUUUGAUACCAGAAAAUUUUAACUUUCAUGAAGUCUAAUUUAUCCAUUUUUUCCCCUAUGAUUAUUGCUCUCUGUGUUCUGUCCAAAAAAUCUUUUUUACCAGAGGGUCACAGAGAUAGUGCCUUGUGGCCUUAUAUACAAACUUUAUGGCUGUGAGUUUUGCAUUUAGCACUGUGAUCAAAUUAAUUUUUGUGUAAAGUGAGUUGAGGUUGAGGUUCAUUUAUUCUGUAUGGAUAUACAGUUGUUGCAGCAAUAUUUGUUAAAGAGACUUUCCCUCCCAUGUUCUAUUGACCUGGGAACUUGGUUAAAAAAAAUAAAUAAAUAAACAGUUAACCAUAUAUGUAUAUUUCUGAAAUUUCUAGUUCAUUUCAUCGACCUACUUGUCUCUACCACACUCUCUUUACUACUGUAGCUUUAUAGUCAGUCCUGAAAUAAAAUAGUUU